UACGAAGGGUGCAAGCGUUAAUCGGAAUUACUGGGCGUAAAGGGUGCGUAGGCGGUUGUUUAAGUCUGUCGUGAAAUCCCCGGGCUCAACCUGGGAAUGGCGAUGGAUACUGGGCAGCUAGAGUGUGUCAGAGGAUGGUGGAAUUCCCGGUGUAGCGGUGAAAUGCGUAGAGAUCGGGAAGAACACCAGUGGCGAAGGCGACGUGCUGGGUUGCAACUGACGCUGAGAUGCGAAAGUGUGGGGAGCAAACGGG
rnacentral:rRNA from 1 species